rnacentral:lncRNA from 14 species
CACAAACAACAGACAUCAUCCCUUUUGUUGAUGUCCUCUCCUUUGCAGGCUUCUGUGAGGGUAAGUUUUGUCAGCAGAAAAAUCUGUUGUUUUUACAAAAUGAUGGGUUUUUUCUCUUGUUUUCCCUUUCUGUGUCUGUUUUAAUCCUUCAGUAAAACCUCAACAUAGAGAAAAAUCCAUAUUUUAGGAAAAAACCCACAUAAAACUGAAGGGGGAAGGUGGAAUCCAAGUUGAUGAAUAAUAAAUAAUCUUGGGCUCAGAAAAGCCUCAGCUAUUUUUCCCAAAGCAGCCAGUGCUCCACCAGCUUGCAUUGCUGCUGUAAAUAUUGGCCAGGUUCUUUCAACUCUUGUGAAGGUAAAUGAGAAGCAGGUGCCAGGUUUUCUUGGUAUUGCAUGUCUGGGAUGAUGAAAGGGCCAAAGAACCUGAAGAUGUGUAAUUGCAAGUGGGGUGCUCAGCCAUGCGGUCUGAGAGCUCAAGUGCCAAGGUGCAGCAGGGAGGCAUGUGCUUGAUGUGGGCUCUCCCUUCACCACGGUUCCUACCUGCCAAACACCAGCCUGGAAGAUAACUGGUGCUGGCUCCAGGAUGGGAGGAUGCUGAAAGAGUUCCUGACCAGAUGAAGAGCCAAACCUGGGUGAUGUGGCGCCGGGUGCACCUCCAGGUAUUUGCAUUGCUGCUCGAGGCUAACGCUGCCCAUGCAGUCCUGUGGUGAUGGAGCAGUUGGACAUCGGUGGGCAGGUUCAAGACAGAGGAGGAUAUGUCAGGCUGGGAGAUGCCUUGCUCUUCACUGCAUCUUUCUCUGUGUCCUAUGCUGGCUGAUAACCCACCCUCGCAGGGCUGACUUGACUGGCCAAAGUGUUGAAGAGACCAAGUCCUUGAGAACAGUUAUCUGAAGAACAAGAACCAUUUGGGGAUGUUUGUCCCUUAGCUACCAAAGGGUUAUUAAUGACUUUUUGAUGGAGCCAAUUAAGUAGGUGCAUUGAUAACAGCAUCACUCCCAAGACAAGCAUCAAGGGGUCUUCCACUUAAGGGCUUGAGCACCAUGAAACCCUCUUGUCCCCAGUCUGAGCGGUUUUCCUGCUGCUGGUUGGUUGUUCUGGUUUGGUUUUCAUCAGCUUGCUGGAGGGGGUUCUCCAGCAGCAUUGCCACAGGGAGCCUGGCUGCAGUCCUGCCUCUGCCUGGCCACCAGCCCUGGUAGCAUCACAGCCAUUUCCAUGGCAACGUCACGUGUGGGGCUGUAAUAAAGUCAGAUUGCAGCCACUUCCCUGUGUGUGC